rnacentral:rRNA from 1 species
UGAUCAUGGCUCAGAAUCACGCUGGCGNNNGUGCCUAACACAUGCAAGUCGAACGCGAAAGCCCCGCAAGGGGUAAGUAGAGUGGCAAACGGGUGAGUAACACGUGGGUGACCUGCCUUCGAGUGGGGGAUAACGUCCCGAAAGGGACGCUAUACCGCAUGACAUCCUGCGUUUGGAAACGCGGAGAUCAAAGCCGGGGAUCGCAAGACCUGGCGCUUGAAGAGGGGCCCGCGCCUGAUUAGCUAGUUGGUGGGGUAACGGCCUACCAAGGCGACGAUCAGUAUCCGGCCUGAGAGGGCGGACGGACACACUGGGACUGAGACACGGCCCAGACUCCUACAGGGAGGCAGCAGUGGGGAAUUGUUCGCAAUGGACGCAAGCCUGACGACGCAACGCCGCGUGGAGGACGAAGAUCUUCGGGUCGUAAACUCCUGUCAGAACGGGAAGAACGCUUCCCGGGUNGAAUAACUCCGGGGAGGUGACGGUACCGCUAAAGGAAGCCCCGGCUAACUCCGUGCCAAGCAGCCCGCGGUAAAUACGGGGAGGGGCAAAGCGUUAGUAUCGGAACUNACUGGGCGUAAAAGGGCU